CCAGUUUUUUAUUUAUUUUGCUUCGUUCCUAGCGUCAAAAAAAAAAAGUCUCAUUGGAAAUUAACCACGAAAUUAACCACCUUUGUAAAAAUCAACCAACAACCAUUCGGAUAAAGAAGAAGGGAGAGUGAGUCCCCAUCGAAGCACAAAGCUUGCAUUCGUGUAAUUUAAUCGACUCUCGUUGAACAAAAUCAAAGAUCGUCUUGCCGAAAGUUAUUUCCUUGACCGUGCCGGAUAAUUCAAACAUCAGGGGUAAAACUUAAUCGUCACGUUCCGCGUUAAGAACUAAUUCUAAGUAAAUUGCUACUUUGUUCCUUAUCGAACUGUUAGAGUUGAUAACCGAUUUGCAAGCGAAAAUUGCCAUUAGAAAUUUAAUCCAGAUCCCUUAUCCGAUUCAUUAAGAUGACAAACUUUAACGGAGUAUACCGAAAAUUCUCAAACACCCACCGCCCACCCGCACCCCCUAAGGCGAUGAUGUAAUCGAACUUUGAUCCGGGAGUGAAAGAAAAUCCAAAAAAAGCAAAAAACAACAAGGAGAGAAAUAAUUCGCGUUCUUAGGAUGAUUCGGAAAAAAAAAGUACCGGAACGAGCGUAACCCACGGAUGAUGAUGGUUUGGUCGUCGUACUACGGGUCAUAUCGAAUGCAGAAAGCGCGAUAUAUGCUUCCGGUGUAAGAAUGGGUGGAGUUGUUCCAUCGUCGGCUGUCCCUUUACCUUCGGACACGCAUAGGCGUGGUGUGUGCGUGCCGUGAUUCCACCUAAGUAUUGGUGGUGCGUCGCAUUGUUUAUAGCCACUUCUCCUCUUUCCCGACAAGAGAACCGCUGAAUACAAAUUGCUUAACGCAGAGAAAA
rnacentral:lncRNA from 1 species